rnacentral:rRNA from 1 species
AUGGCCUCAUCCGCCGCCGCCUCAUCUCCCCUCUCCAGCCAGAUCACCGAGCGCCGUACCCGCACCAACUACGUCCUUUGGCACACUCAGAUCACGCCGCAACUGAGAGGAGCUGGAGUCUUCGGGUAUGUUGACGGAAGCAUGGCGGAGCCGGCCGAGUUCGUCGUCAGCAAGGACAAGGAUGGAAAGGAGGAAACCAUCCCCAACCCGCUCCAUGCCGUUUGGUUCCGAGAGGAUCAGCAGGUACUCGGUUAUCUCCUGAAUAACAUGUCCAAAGAGGUGCUAGUGCAGGUCACCUCCAUCGCGCAUGCACGCGAAAUCUGGACGGCGCUGGCGAGCAUGUUCUCGUCAACGUCGCUGUCCCGCAUCAACAACAUCCGCGCCGCCCUCACCAAUGCGCAGAAAGGAACGCAAUCGGUGGCCACCUUCUUCGCGUAUAUGCGGGGACUCGCCGACGAGCUCGCCGCGGCUGGCAAGCCGUUGAAGGAUGAUGAGUUAAUCUCUUAUAUCCUCAACGCGCUUGACAUGGAGUACCAGCCAUUGGUGUCCUCCCUCGACGCCCGCACCACCCCGGUCACCCUCGACGAGCUGUUCGGGCAGAUGAGUAACUUCGACCAGCGGGUGGCUCUUUUCCAGGGAGCGGGCACGGCAGGCGGCUUGAAGUCGUCGGCAAACGUUGCCACUCGCAGUCGGGGCGGAGGCUCCCGCUCUCGCGGUCCACCUCGGAACGGCAAGGGUCGGGCCUCCGGCAAUGGCAACAGCAGCGGCACCAACAACACACGCGGCGGCCGGCCUUUCUCCUCCAACAACCGAGGCCGGCGCAACAACUCCUCCAACAACAGAUCACGCCCUGAUGCAAUCAGGUGCCAAAUCUGUGGCAAGCCGGGACACUCCGCGAAAGACUGUUGGUAUCGUUUUGAAGAAGAUGAAGAUGAUUCCUCCCAAGAUGAGAAGGUGGCCGGAGCUGCUGAUGGCUCCUAUGGCGUCGACACCAACUGGUACGUCGACAGUGGCGCCACAAACCACAUCACCGGUGAGCUGGAGAAGGUGACCAUGCGCGACAAGUACCGUGGCAAAGAUCACAUCCACACAGCAAGUGGAGAAGGGUCAGGCAAUGAAGAAGGUGCUAUAUCGAGGUAG